rnacentral:tRNA from 2 species
GCGCCCAUAGCUCAGCCCGGUAGAGCACCUGCCUUUUAAGCAGAGGGUCGUUGGUUCGAAUCCAACUGGGCGCA